rnacentral:rRNA from 1 species
AGUUCGGGCCGCACGCGCGCUACACUGACAGAGCCAGCGAGUCUACCACCUUUGCCGGAAGGCAUGGGUAAUCUUGUGAAACUCUGUCGUGAUGGGGAUAGAACAUUGCAAUUAUUGUUCUUCAACGAGGAAUACCUAGUAAGCGUGAUUCAUCAGAUCGCGUUGAUUACGUCCCUGCCCUUUGUACACACCGCCCGUCGCUACUACCGAUUGAAUGGCUUAGUGAGGCCUCCGGAUUGGCUAUUGGGAGCUCGCGAGAGCACCCGACUGCCGAGAAGUUGUACGAACUUGGUCAUUUAGAGGAAGUAAAAGUCGUAACAAGGUUUCCGUAGGUGAACCUGCGGAAGGAUCAUUAGUGAAUAUAGGACGUCCAACUUAACUUGGAGUCCGAACUCUCACUUUCUAACCCUGUGCACUUGUUUGGGAUAGUAACUCUCGCAAGAGAGCGAACUCCUAUUCACUUAUAAACACAAAGUCUAUGAAUGUAUUAAAUUUUAUAACAAAAUAAAACUUUCAACAACGGAUCUCUUGGCUCUCGCAUCGAUGAAGAACGCAGCGAAAUGCGAUAAGUAAUGUGAAUUGCAGAAUUCAGUGAAUCAUCGAAUCUUUGAACGCACCUUGCGCUCCAUGGUAUUCCGUGGAGCAUGCCUGUUUGAGUGUCAUGAAUACUUCAACCCUCCUCUUUCUUAAUGAUUGAAGAGGUGUUUGGUUUCUGAGCGCUGCUGGCCUUUACGGUCUAGCUCGUUCGUAAUGCAUUAGCAUCCGCAAUCGAACUUCGGAUUGACUUGGCGUAAUAGACUAUUCGCUGAGGAAUCUAGUCUUCGGAUUAAACCCGGUUGGGUUAAAGGAAGCUUCUAAUCAGAAUGUCUACAUUUUAAGAUAGAUCUCAAAUCAGGGAGGACUCCCGCUGAACUUAGCCUAUCAUUAGCGGAGGAAAAGAACUAACAGGGUUUCCCUAUACGGCCAGCGAACCGGGAAACUC